rnacentral:rRNA from 1 species
GACGAACGCUGGCGGCGUGCCUAACACAUGCAAGUCGAACGGAGAAUUAGCAAUAAUUCUUAGUGGCGAACGGGUGAGUAACGCGUAGACAACCUACCCUUUAGAUGGGGACAACACCGCGAAAGUGGUGCUAAUACCGAAUAUUGCUUGAGAAGCGCAUGCUUUUCAAACUAAAGAUGGCCUCUAUUUAUAAGCUAUCGCCAAAGAAUGGGUCUGCGUCUGAUUAGCUAGUUGGUGAGAUAAAAGCUCACCAAGGCAACGAUCAGCAGCCGGUCUGAGAGGAUGAACGGCCACACUGGGACUGAGACACGGCCCAGACUCCUACGGGAGGCAGCAGUGGGGAAUCUUCCGCAAUGGACGAAAGUCUGACGGAGCAACGCCGCGUGAGUGAUGAAGGUUUUCGGAUCGUAAAACUCUGUUGUUAAGGACGAGUGUAUAGAUUGUGAAUAAUGGUUUAUAAUGACGGUACUUAACGAGGAAGCCACGGCUAACUACGUGCCAGCCGCCGCCGUAA